rnacentral:rRNA from 1 species
GAGUUUGAUCUUGGCUCAGAUUGAACGCUGGCGGCAUGCCUUACACAUGCAAGUCGAACGGCAGCAUGAUCUGGCUUGCUAGAUUGAUGGCGAGUGGCGAACGGGUGAGUAAUACAUCGGGACGUGCCCUGUAGUGGGGAUAACUAGUCGAAAGAUUAGCUAAUACCGCAUACGACCUGAGGGUGAAAGUGGGGGACCGCAAGGCCUCAUGCUAUAGGAGCGGCCGAUGUCUGAUUAGCUAGUUGGUGGGGUAAAGGCCCGACCAAGGCGACGAUCAGUAGCUGGUCUGAGAGGACGAUCAGCCACACUGGGACUGAGACACGGCCCAGACUCCUACGGGAGGCAGCAGUGGGGAAUUUUGGACAAUGGGCGAAAGCCUGAUCCAGCAAUGCCGCGUGUGUGAAGAAGGCC